rnacentral:rRNA from 1 species
UGGGGAAUUUUGGACAAUGGGGGCAACCCUGAUCCAGCAAUGCCGCGUGUGUGAAGAAGGCCUUCGGGUUGUAAAGCACUUUUGUCCGGAAAGAAAUCGCCCUGGCUAAUAUCCGGGGUGGAUGACGGUACUGGAAGAAUAAGCACCGGCUAACUACGUGCCAGCAGCCGCGGUAAUACGUAGGGUGCGAGCGUUAAUCGGAAUUACUGGGCGUAAAGCGUGCGCAGGCGGCUGUGCAAGACAGAUGUGAAAAUCCCCCGGGGCUUAACCUGGGAAUGGCAUUUGUGACUGCACGGCUAGAGUGUGUCAGAGGGGGGUAGAAUUCCACGUGUAGCAGUGAAAUGCGUAGAUAUGUGGAGGAACACCGAUGGCGAAGGCAGCCCCCUGGGAUAACACGACGCUCAUGCACGAAAGCGUGGGGAGCAAACAGGAUUAGAUACCCUGGUAGUCCACGCCCUAAACGAUGUCAACUAGUUGUCGGGUCUUAAUUGACUUGGUAACGCAGCUAAACGCGUGAAGUUGACCGCCUGGGG